UACGGAGGGUGCAAGCGUUAUCCGGAUUCACUGGGUUUAAAGGGUGCGUAGGUGGGUUGGUAAGUCAGUGGUGAAAUCCCCGAGCUUAACUUGGGAACUGCCAUUGAUACUAUCAGUCUUGAAUACCGUGGAGGUCAGCGGAAUAUGUCAUGUAGCGGUGAAAUGCUUAGAUAUGACAUAGAACACCGAUAGCGAAGGCAGCUUACUACAGGAUGAUUGACGCUGAGGCACGAAAGCGUGGGGAUCAAACAGG
rnacentral:rRNA from 1 species